rnacentral:rRNA from 1 species
GAUGAACGCUGGCGGCGUGCCUAACACAUGCAAGUCGAGCGAACAGAUGAUGAGCUUGUUCCUUUGACGUUAGCGGCGGACGGGUGAGUAACACGUGGAUACCCUACUUAUCUUUCUGGGAUAAUUACGGAAAACCGGCGAUAAUACCGGAUAAUCUAUUGCACCGCAUGGUUCAAUAGAGAAUGACGGUUUUGGUGUCUGUAAUAGCUGGUUCCGGGCCGCAUUGGCUAGUUGGUAGGGUAACGGCUUACCAAGGCUACGAUGCGUGGCCGACCUGAUAGGGUGAUCGGCCACACUGGAACUGAGACACGGUCCAGACUCCUACGGGAGGCAGCAGUAGGGAAUCUUCCGCAAUGGGCGAAAGCCUGACGGAGCGACGCCGCGUGAGUGAUGAAGGUCUUCGGAUCGUAAAGCUCUGUUAUUAGGGAAGAACAAAUGUGUAAGUAACUAUGCACGUCUUGACGGUACCUAAUCAGAAAGCCACGGCUAACUACGUG